rnacentral:rRNA from 1 species
CACGUAGGCACCAAGCGUUGUCCGGAUUUAUUGGGCGUAAAGAGCUCGUAGGCGGUUCGGUAAGUCGGGUGUGAAAACUCUGGGCUCAACCCAGAGCCGCCACCUGAUACUGCUGUGACUAGAGUGCGGUAGGGGAGCGGGGAAUUCCUGGUGUAGCGGUGAAAUGCGCAGAUAUCAGGAGGAACACCAGUGGCGAAGGCGCCGCUCUGGGCCGUGACUGACGCUGAGGAGCAAAAGCGUGGGUAGCAAACAGG